rnacentral:lncRNA from 1 species
UCCCCUAGCUCUAUGUUACGAUCCCCCUCCGCGUUAAGUAAGUCUCGAAAGUACGCCUGCCAGCUCUGCUUGACUUGAGACUCUCCCAUCAGAACUCUACCAUCCUCCCCCUUGAUGCACCUAACUUGGUCAAGAUCACACGCCUUCUUUUCUCUUACUUUAGCUAACCGGAAUAACUUCCCGUCCCCACCUUUCUCCCCUAAUUCCUCGUACAUGCGACCAAACGCCGCAUUUUUAGCUUCCGUAACCGCCNNNN